GUACACGCUGUGACUAGCAUAUCAAUAAGCGGAGGAAAAGAAACUAACAAGGAUUCCCUCAGUAACGGCGAGUGAAGCGGGAAGAGCUCAAAUUUGAAAUCUUGAAAGGUCACCUUUCACGAAUUGUAGUUUAAAGAAGUGUUUUCUGUUACGAUCGUAAUAUAAGUUCUUUGGAAUAGGACAUCAUAGAGGGUGAGAAUCCCGUAUUAUGACCAUUGGAUUUGUCAGCUUUGUGAUACACUUUCAAAGAGUCGGAUUGUUUGGGAAUGCAGUCCCAAAAUGGGAUGGUAAGUUUCAUCUAAGGCUAAAUAUUGGCGAGAGACCGAUAGCGAACAAGUACCGUGAGGGAAAGAUGAAAAGAACUUUGAAAAGAGAGUUAAAUAGUACGUGAAAUUGUCAAAAGGGAAGCGUUUAACACCAGUGUUGUUUUCUGAAAAUCAACCUCUGUUAGCUUUAUGCAUGUUUGUUUAGACCUAAUCAGCUAUCUUGCAUGUUCUAUUGUUUGCAGUGGUGCACUUUUCAGUUUACAGGUCAACAUCAGUUUUUUUUACCGUAAAAAAGUUAAAGAAAGGUAGCUCAUGGCUCCGGUCGUGAGUGUUAUAGUCUUUUUCCUAUGCGGUAGGAGAGACUGAGGUCUGCAGUGUAGGCUAUUUGGCUAGAUACUCAGGUGCUAUGUGAUACCAUUUCAUAAACAACUUGUUGAUUAUGUUUUGUCUAUUGCAUACUCGCUUGUACUAUCAUACCUACGCUUAGGAUGUUGAGUAGCGACAUACGCAC
rnacentral:rRNA from 1 species